AUUUAAUGGUCACUUGAUAUGACAAUUACUUUUCAGUGUGAAGAUUGUCAUCAUGCAAUUUGUAUGUGGGAGUUGUUUAAAUGAUGAUAAUGUUUAAAACGUCAGUGGUAGUUAUAAGAGAGGCUGGUGAGUGUAUUUGAUGUCGGCUACCAAUCAGAUCCCGCGUUCACCACUGCAUAGUUAAUCCGUUCCCAGCAUUCCAUUCCGCUAAAGAGGAAGUGCUUCUUUGAACAGUAAGAACAAUAAGGAUAUGGAAUUCUCUGCCUGAAGAGGUGGUUUUGUCAGAGUCCAUACAGAUGUUUAAACUGAAAUUGGAUAAAUACUUACAAAAACAUAACAUACAGGGAUAUAAUUUCUAAUUAGUGGGUUAAUAGCUGCUUGAUCCAAGGAGACAUCUGACUGCUAUUUUGGGGUCAAGAAGGAAUUUUUUCCUAGUUUGUGGCAAAAUUGGAAGCGCUUCAGACCAGGUUUUUUUGCCUUCUUUUGGAUCAACAGCAACAACAUUUGUGAGGAAGGCUGAACUUGAUGGACGCAAGUCUCUUUUCAACUAUGUAACUAUGUAACUGCGAGACCAGCACAAGAUAGACAGUUCUGAAAAUGCUAAAUGCUGGUAAAAUGAAUAUUUAUGUUUGUUAUAUAUACUACAUUUCUUUGUAAAUAAAUAUUUG